AGGCAAUCCGCUCGGGUUCCCUUCCAUGCUGUGGAAGUUCUGUUCUUUCGCUCUUCACGAGAAACCUUGCUACUUCUCACUCUUUGGGUCCAUGUCAUCUUUAAGGGCUGUAACACUCACUGCAAAGGUCCCACGGCUUCAUUCUUGAAGUCAGCGAGACCACGAACCCACCAGAAGGAACAAACUCUGGACACACUACUAGCCCAUCUCAAUCCAGUUAUUUCAAGCAAAGUGGCCAGCAUGGUUGUGAACAUAUUUGGACCAGGAGGCAUCUUUUCAAGAGUCAAGAGAAACAAGGAAUGGUGGAGGCUCAGUCCUUGUUUUCGAGUCAUGUGACCACAGUCAAGAAAAAGAACAGUGCCAUCACCACAAGGAUAUGCAAUCCUCUGUGUUGCUCCUUUAUACCAAACCCGCUUCCGUCUUCAUCUGCUCCAUCCCAAGGUCUGAACCCAUGGCAACCAACCAGUAAUCUGUUCUCCAUUCCUAUAGUGUUACUUCAAGAAUGUUAUGUAAAUUAAAC
rnacentral:lncRNA from 1 species